UCGCCAUGAAACCGCUAGAAAUCCGGAACGACCCAAAAAUGUAGCACACCGUUUACAGCGCUAACCGUCAGUUAGCUAACGUCGUAACGUCAGCGACAGACAGAAACUGUGUAUUUUAGUUGUUUUUUUUAUCUUAUGAGUUUGAUAUAUACCGACCUUAUUGGGGUGGACAGAGAAGUGUUGCUCUGGUGGUUUAUGGAAAAUGCAAAACCAGCCGGACCCCCUUUGCAACCCAUGGAUGCAUGACUGCAACUGAAAUGUAGUUUGCAAAGAUAAGAGCUAGUAUGGAGGAAAGGAGAAGAGGUGCAGACGUUGGUACCUGGAGGUGGCUGAGCGCGGUCCACACUGCAGGAAGUAGGGAGACGAAACUGAAUCCCUGCAAGGAGCAAGCAUCACCAGUUAGAGGAGGAGAGAUACAGCCGCUGAGAAAACGUUUGCAGCCUUCUUGGAAACACCUGGGCAGAGAUGUUGGUGGAAGAAUAGGACUGUGAUGCUCCCCCUGUUGUUUGUGCUUUGGGGACUAACACAAAACCAGAUUCUGUGGUUACCCUGUGCAGAUGAAGAAAAGAGAUCCACGAUCGGAAAUUCAAGCCUGAUGGGUGAGAAACACCACAGCUAUGACAGUCAACCUUCAUGAAUAAAACAAGGUAGAAGAUACA